CUAAGUAACUUCUAUUAUAGUAUUCUUUUAUAGUGGUUCUUUUUCUAUUAUUAAUAUUGUUGUUAAUAUUUUAUUGUACUUAAUUUAUAAAUUAAACUUUAUCAUCCAUAUGAAUGCAUACAUAUUGUUGUUGCUGUCUGAUAUUCUCAGUGGGGUCUUGCAUUGUAUCCCCUAUAAAUAAGAGACCACUCUGCUCAAGCUCUGUGAAGCCUAGAAUUCAAGGAUUUUUAAUACCAGAAUUCAUUGUGUCUAUUCAGUUUUAUGUUCAAUUUGAUUUUCAGCUGCUUCUCUCCUUUGGUCAGGAUGAUGUCCAUGUCAUCCUCAUUGUCCACCUUGAAAAUCUUCUUUGAAUGCACAGAGCACCAGGUCAUCAGUGCACAGGGAAACUUCAAGAGAAUUAAGCUUCAUAGAUGUAAAGAGAGGUACAUAAGGAAACACAAACUUCUAUUUGGGACUCUCAAGACUGACAGGAGUCACUCACUGAGCUGCUGGCCUCUUCAAAAGCUGCAUUUGCUCCUGUCUUUGUUCUAAGGAGUUAUCUGAGCUGGGGUCCUCACUGUUUCCUGCUCCGGUGGACCUACUGGAUGACUGGACAGCCAGAGACUCAGUACUUUGACAGACUCCAGACCUCUGGUGGAGUUCAGGUCUGCUCCACAUGUGUUAAGUCCAACACCUAGACUAGAGGAAGAGGAGCCUUUGGGUCCUGCUCUGCUCACGACAGGGCAAGAGGUCAAGCCAGCCAUGCACACGUAUCCAGUAACCUUCUCUUGGUCCCACGAGUCCCAUUGAAAGCCCAACACCAACCAGUGAGCAGAUCCACUCUGAGGACUUCACUGCAGAGCCAAAUGGCGAAGGGUGUGGACUUAAUUCCACAAAAGCAAGAAGAUGAAAGGAUGUGAGCAGCAAUCCAGGCCCCCACAGUUUUGUAGACAAAUUUGAAGAAUGUCACUUAAAUGCUUGGAUUGUAUCAAAUCUUGUGAAUUGCUUACUCAGGCUACAAAUCUGAGGAUAUUCUUGACUCCUUUCUCUCUCUUCGUGCCAAUCACAAUUUCCUCUCCAUUCCACCAUCUACCCAUCCAACCAGAAACUUAACUACCUGCCUGUAUUGUUUUGUUUGUUCUUUUCUACUCUUCUUGCCUUAAGGAAUUAAUCACUACCCUUUAAACAAACUAGUACACUGGGCU
rnacentral:lncRNA from 1 species